AUUGAGGUCCAUCCCAUAGGGGCUUCCAUACUGUAGCCACACAUCAUUGGAAAUGCCUCAUACAAUAGUUGUGUGGUUUUGCUCUACUCACAGGGCUAGUUCUUAGAUCUGUGGGAAGUAACUACAAGACAGUU
rnacentral:snoRNA from 1 species